rnacentral:rRNA from 1 species
AUUGAACCUUGGCGGCAGGCCUAACACAUGCAAGUCGAGCGGAUGAAGGGAGCUUGCUCCUGGAUUCAGCGGCGGACGGGUGAGUAAUGCCUAGGAAUCUGCCUGGUAGUGGGGGAUAACGUCCGGAAACGGGCGCUAAUACCGCAUACGUCCUGAGGGAGAAAGUGGGGGAUCUUCGGACCUCACGCUAUCAGAUGAGCCUAGGUCGGAUUAGCUAGUUGGUGGGGUAAAGGCCUACCAAGGCGACGAUCCGUAACUGGUCUGAGAGGAUGAUCAGUCACCCUGGAACUGAGACACGGUCCAGAGUCCUGAGGGAGGCAGCAGUGGGGAACAUUGGACAAAGGGCGAAAGCCUGAUACAGCCAUGCCGCGUGUGUGAAGACGGUCUUCGGAUUGUAAAGCACUUUAAGUUGGGAGGAAGGGCAGUAAGUUAAUACCUUGCUGUUUUGACGUUACCAACAGAAUAAGCACCGGCUAACUUCGUG